AUUGAACGCUGGCGGCAGGCUUAACACAUGCAAGUCGAACGGUAGCAGGAGAAAGCUUGCUUUCUUGCUGACGAGUGGCGGACGGGUGAGUAAUGCUUGGGAAUCUGGCUUAUGGAGGGGGAUAACUACGGGAAACUGUAGCUAAUACCGCGUAAUAUCGAAAGAUUAAGGUGUGGGACCUUCGGGCCACAUGCCAUAAGAUGAGCCCAAGUGGGAUUAGGUAGUUGGUGGGGUAAAGGCCUACCAAGCCGACGAUCUCUAGCUGGUCUGAGAGGAUGACCAGCCACACUGGAACUGAGACACGGUCCGGACUCCUACGGGAGGCAGCAGUGGGGAAUAUUGCGCAAUGGGGGGAACCCUGACGCAGCCAUGCCGCGUGAAUGAAGAAGGCCUUCGGGUUGUAAAGUUCUUUCGGUAUUGAGGAAGGGAUGUGUGCUAAUAGUAGACAUCAUUGACGUUAAAUACAGAAGAAGCACCGGCUAACUCCUUGCCAGCAGCCGCGGUAAUACGGAGGGUGCGAGCGUUAAUCGGAAUAACUGGGCGUAAAGGGCACGCAGGGCGGUUAUUUAAGUGAGGUGUGAAAGCCCCGGGCUUAACCUGGGAAUUGCAUUUCAGACUGGGUAACUAGAGUACGUUAGGGGAGGGGGAAAAUACCCACGCGUCCCGGAGAAAUACAGAAAAAAGAGGAAUAAAAACCAAAAGGAGGAGGGGUUCCCUUGUGG
rnacentral:rRNA from 1 species